rnacentral:rRNA from 1 species
GUGAACGCUGGCGGUAGGCCUAACACAUGCAAGUCGAACGGCAGCACAGUAAGAGCUUGCUCUUACGGGUGGCGAGUGGCGGACGGGUGAGGAAUACAUCGGAAUCUACUUUUUCGUGGGGGAUAACGUAGGGAAACUUACGCUAAUACCGCAUACGACCUACGGGUGAAAGCAGGGGAUCUUCGGACCUUGCGCGAUUGAAUGAGCCGAUGUCGGAUUAGCUAGUUGGCGGGGUAAAGGCCCACCAAGGCGACGAUCCGUAGCUGGUCUGAGAGGAUGAUCAGCCACACUGGAACUGAGACACGGUCCAGACUCCUACGGGAGGCAGCAGUGGGGAAUAUUGGACAAUGGGCGCAAGCCUGAUCCAGCCAUACCGCGUGGGUGAAGAAGGCCUUCGGGUUGUAAAGCCCUUUUGUUGGGAAAGAAAAGCAGCAGGUUAAUACCCCGCUGUUCUGACGGUUCCCAAAGAAUAAGCACCGGCUAACUUCGUG